rnacentral:rRNA from 1 species
CAGUAGCCACGGUAAUACGGAGGGUGCAAGCGUUAAUCGGAAUUACUGGGCGUAAAGCGUGCGUAGGCGGUUCGUUAAGUCUGUUGUGAAAGCCCCGGGCUCAACCUGGGAAUGGCAAUGGAUACUGGCGAGCUAGAGUGUGUCAGAGGAUGGUGGAAUUCCCGGUGUAGCGGUGAAAUGCGUAGAGAUCGGGAGGAACAUCAGUGGCGAAGGCGGCCAUCUGGGACAACACUGACGCUGAGGCACGAAAGCGUGGGGAGCAAACAGGAUUAGAUACCCCCGUAGUCCCUGUCUCUUAUCA